ACGACGAGACCCCACAUAAACAGAGAAGAUUAUUCAUAUCUAAUUUGGAUCCGAGUGAAGCUGAUACAAUAAAACAGCCGGACGAGAAAGGAAACUAAAGAUUACUCGACAUAUAAAGUUUUUCGACGAGUUAAGUUUUACUAAGCGUACAGACCUCCAUGUAACACGGUUUAGUUUUAACACGGUAUUAAUCUGACCUUUUACAGAGAGAGACAGAACUUGCAUACCCUACACAUCACCAAUUUGACCACCAACCAACUUCACAGAGGGUAAU